UAACGAAGUAAUUUCAUUUCUCAGAACUUCCCAGUGGCAUUGUUCGUGGUUCUGAUCAGUUUCUGGUUUGCAACAAUGUCUCUGAAACAAGUUGGGAGUGAUUAUAAGCAUAAGCACUUGUUCUUCUCAUUGCUGUGGACGGGGAUUUGUGUGGGCAUAACUGCACUAGUGAGGGCCAAUGGUCGGAUCUUCUGCAACCGGCCUCGUCUGCACAAGCCCAGAUCCUGAUUUAUUUUCUUCACUGGGGUGACCAUUGUGAUCACAUGGAGCUCAAGUCGGAGCCAAAAGUUUUCUCUUUUUGUUAUUUCAUUGUAUUAAAGUUGGACCUUGUGACGCCAGCUAGAGGCAAUUGUCUCAGGUGGAUAGCCCUUAAGAUUUAACACUCCCACAACAACCAUCAAUUACUCGAUACAGUUACACAUGCUUCUUCAUAUUCGUUCUUUCUA